rnacentral:rRNA from 1 species
GUCCCAGUUCGGAUUGUAGUCUGCAACCCGGCUACAUGAAGCUGGAAUCGCUAGUAAUCGCGGAUCAGCAUGUCGCGGUGAAUACGUUCCCGGGCCUUGUACACACCGCCCGUCACACCAUGAGAGUUUGUAACACCCAAAGCCGGUGGGGUAACCUUUUGGAGCCAGCCGUCUAAGGUGGGACAGAUGAUUAGGGUGAAGUCGUAACAAGGUAUC